AAAAUGAGAAUGAAGACUUCCUUCGUCAAUAUAUCUCAGAUCAGGAUUCAGGAUAUUUCCCUUUCUUUAGAAAAUGAUUUUUAAAAAUUUUUCAUAUUUAUUUAUUUAUUUUUGAGAGAAAGAACAAGUGGAGGAACAGCAGAGAGAGAGAAAGGGAGAGAAUCCCAAGCAGGUUCUGUGUUUACAGCGCAGAGUCUCAUGCAGGGCUUGAUUUCACAAACUGUGAGAUCAUGACCUGAGCUGAAAUCAGGAGUCAGAUGCCUAACCGACUGAGCCACCCAGGUGCCCCUAGAAAAUGAUUUUAUGGUAGGAUCAUUUCUGGAAGGCUCAUCAAAGUUUAAUGUGAUAUGUUCGCUUUUACUCUAGAAGUUGGUAUUUCAACACUAUUGUGUAAUACUCGAAAAGCCCUAAAAUUUAGUCUCAGAGUAGUGUUGUGAUAAAAAACAAAAACAAGAACAAAAACAAAAAACUAUAACCUAAAAAUCAUUUCAUGAAAACUCAAGUUUUUUCCUUGAACACCAUGAAAAACAAUGAUUUUGCCCAGGUAAGUCAUGACUCAAAACUCUUUUUGCUCUCUUAAUAAUUAACUUUUGUUUCUUCACAUAAGUUUCGAGGCUGUUUAGAUGAUAAAACUCUUCUCACAGGAUUACUUCAUGUAUUGGUACACACUUAAGGAAGAAAGGAAAGAUCAUUUUCCAGUCAUGUCCUGAGAACUUGAUGGCUGGGUUGUACCAAGAACCUGAUGACUUGUUUCCUUGUUUGCAGGCUAAUUAAUUCACCAUCUUCUUGAAAACAAAUGAUGACAAACAAGCAAACAAAAAACACACAAAAACAAGCAUGCUUAAAUACUGUUUUCAUCGGAUUGCUUCUAGCUCAGAAGCCCAUGGGUGCACUUGGAUUUGCCUUGCCUUAUCUUCUGGUAAACCAGAAUAAGAACAAAUAAUCUGAACCAUCAUAAAAAGAAAGUGUCAUUAAAGGUAAUCUUUCUUUUUACUCUUUGAGACCUAUGAUUUUGACAAAAAUUGUAGUGAUGGUAAAAGUGUGGCCUAAAAUGGCU
rnacentral:lncRNA from 1 species